rnacentral:rRNA from 1 species
AUUGAACGCUGGCGGCAGGCUUAACACAUGCAAGUCGAGCGGAGAUGAGGUGCUUGCACCUUAUCUUAGCGGCGGACGGGUGAGUAAUGCUUAGGAAUCUGCCUAUUAGUGGGGGACAACAUUCCGAAAGGAAUGCUAAUACCGCAUACGUCAUACGGGAGAAAGCAGGGGAUCUUCGGACCUUGCGCUAAUAGAUGAGCCUAAGUCGGAUUAGCUAGUUGGUGGGGUAAAGGCCUACCAAGGCGACGAUCUGUAGCGGGUCUGAGAGGAUGAUCCGCCACACUGGGACUGAGACACGGCCCAGACUUCUACGGGAGGCAGCAGUGGGGAAUAUUGGACAAUGGGGGGAACCCUGAUCCAGCCAUGCCGCGUGUGUGAAGAAGGCCUUAUGGUUGUAAAGCACUUUAAGCGAGGAGGAGGCUACUGAGACUAAUACUCUUGGAUAGUGGACGUUACUCGCAGAAUAAGCACCGGCUAACUCUGUGCCAGCCGCCGCGGUAAAAC